UAUGGCGUCGGCGGGCUGGGCCUGGGCGCGGCCGCCGCCCUGGGCGGGCAUCUGGAGAGCGCCUUCUGGUUCGUGGCCAGCGCCAUGC
rnacentral:tRNA from 1 species